ensembl:lncRNA
CUCUUUCCGUUGCUCCUCUCGCUUUGAGGUAAGAAGAAUUGCGCUUCUGCCAAACGAAUCCAUGCUAAUCUUCCAUUUUUACUAAUCAUCCACAGGCACUAAUCAUUUAAUUGUAUUGUUUUUACAGAAACUUCUCCUCACGAUGAGAGCCAAGUGGAGGAAGAAGCGUAUGCGCAGGCUGAAGCGUAAAAGGAGAAAGAUGAGGCAGAGGUCCAAGUAGAUCUUCUCCCUGCCAGCUGUGAUUCCCGUCGUGGAGCCUCCAUCAGUGGACCCGAAGCCCAAGCCGUGAUUUCUGAUGACUGCGCAUCUCAUGGACACUUCUGUGGAUGGCUGAUUGGAAAAGGCAAAGACGCUGGACUAUCGACAUAAGAACAGCAGCUACAUUGUUCACGGAUCAUUACACAUAUUUACCAACUGUCAUGUGGUGAUGAACAAUAAACGAACACUGUUUAAAACUUAA